AACUUUCGCUUGAGAGCUGCUCUGGAAAAGCAAAUCCUCUGAGAGUGAUGGGACCCCUCUGCGGGAGGCAUUUACCGGCCUCGAAGAAGUCCAGUCUGGCUGGGUCCCAGGAGACCCCAAAGGCACAUCUUCCCACAAGGUGAAGUACCCGAUCCCGCGCCGUAGAAGCAAGGUGCACCCCUCUUCGCUCCAGGCUUGGGCACCUUUGGCCGCUCUCCAGCCGGGGUCGGAGGCGUGCUGACCUUGAAGUUGCACUUGCCUGUCUCAGCCCCUCGCCCGCCCCAAGCUGUCUGGUGGGUGGCACUUGGGUCAGCUUGAAGCCUGCACAGCCGAGAGUUAUCAUCCUGCGCCCUUUCGGGGUUUGGGAGCUCAGGAUCAACCCGCUGGCAGAGAAAUGGAAGCCCAACGAGCUCCUGAAGUCAAGCCUUUUGUUACCAGUAUUUUCUUACCCAGUUCGCCAGGUCCUACAAAGCUCACUGCAGAGAGAUACUAUGGGUCCAUGCGAGUCUUGGGGACAGGCGGGGCUAAUGAGGAGGACGGCAGCGAGGGUGCAGGGGCCAAGGGAGCUGAAACGUAACUGUCAGUAAGCCCAAGGCCCCAGCCUUCCAAUUGCUUUGAAAGAUUUGGCGAUUCCAAGAACUUCGACCGCGGAAGUGUGGAAACCUGUUGAUAUAAAGUUCUUUCGGGAAGAUUUUUCUUUUUUGUCUUUAUCUAUUUUAAAUAAAAAGAGGUUGAUCUUCACGAUUGUUAGCCGACAAGUUAUCUUAAGUUUGAACAGACGUUGAAGGAGGACCUUCAUCGCCCGAGAAACCGUUUUUUUCCAGCGCGACUGUGCGCCCCACGCGGGCGCGCAGGUGGGUCCCCCCAGCGAAGGGCUCACCUUCCACCUGCGGGAACUUUCAUAUUAUGGCGACUUUUAAGGCGAGCGGAAAAACUUGCUGCCUGCACUGCACUGCUGAAACCCUAGAGAACAAUGUAGAAUGUGUGGAUGGGGGUAGACGAAAGCUGGUGAAAAGGGUUUCGAAAAAUUAACUGGGAUGUUCUGCAUUCAAUUGCACUGACUAGGUGAUAUACUUUUUUCUGUUACACGUCCUCCCCCCACCGAAUCUUGUGUUUAGCGAAGGUUGGAAAACAUCUAAAGUUUUAAAAAAGAAAAAUUGUUAACACUUUUAGGGCUUGCUUGGUCUCCACUAAUCAAGAAACAAACUCGAAGGGGCUGAGAUCAGCUUUGGGAUUUUGGUUUUGCGAUUUAAAACCCACAGCGCCAUCUCCUGGCAACGAGGAGAAUAUCGAGAUGGAUGACAGCAAUACUGAAAAGCUGAAUAUGAAAUAUUCAAAUACGACUCUAAUGCCUCAAAAAUUGUUUCAGUGAUAAAUAGAUUACCGUGACAAAACAUGAGCUGGAAAUUCAUGAUCAUUAAAAGUUGCCAGAUACAAUUCUGGAAGCUAAUUAUUUGGGCUGCUAUUUCCCAGUCACACUCGGGUGUCUGAUUGUCAGCUUUAUGUCUCAGAAAGUAUUCCCCACAAUUCAGGUGCUGAGCUGACAGCGGUAUUUCCUUCGCACACGAAUGUAGCUGACAAGAUCAGUGUGUCCUCUGCACCCUUAGACACUCUGGUCGGGGACUUUAUCCAUUGCUUGCAAGAGCCUGCUGCUGAUUUAGGAAUAAAGGAUGAUGUGUUUGUUGUUUGCUGUCUAUAGAAGCUUUAAUAUCAGUCUUUACCAUCAAUUUCAAAAUAUAUUGAAGGACAAUAAAAGACAAGACAGUAAAGCUUCUUUAUAGAGAUCUGAGGAGAUCCUGAACACUGCUAACUUUCUUAAUAAGAUGUCUUGCCCUGACUGGUGUGGCUCCGCUGUUUGAGUGUCAUGCUGCAAAGCUAAAAGUCCCCUGUUCGAAUCCUGCUGAGAGCACAGGCCUGGCUGCGGUUGCGCCCCGCAUGAGGGUGCGUGCAGGAGGUAAUCGAUCCAUGUUUCACAUCAGUGUUUCUGGCCUUCUUUUUCUCUCUCUGAAAAUAAACAAAUACAAUUUAAACAAAUACAAAUAAACAAACAAGAUAUCUCAAAUGAAUGCAUGUGGGGAAAAAUUCCUCCCACAGUAAAA